UACGUAGGCAGCGAGCGUUGUUCGGAGUUACUGGGCGUAAAGGGUGCGCAGGCGGUGGAGCAAGUCUGUUGUGAAAUCUCCCGGCUUAACCGGGAGGGUGCGGCGGAAACUGUUCUGCUGGAGUGAGGGAGAGGCAAGCGGAAUUCCUGGUGUAGCGGUGAAAUGCGUAGAUAUCAGGAGGAACACCCGUGGUGCAGACGGCUUGCUGGACCUCCACUGACGCUGAGGCACGAAAGCGUGGGGAGCGAACAGG
rnacentral:rRNA from 1 species